GGAGAGAUGCCAGAGUGGUUGAAUGGGACGGUCUCGAAAACCGUUGUACGGGCAACUGUACCGAGGGUUCGAAUCCCUCUCUCUCCGCCA
rnacentral:tRNA from 1 species